AAAAAAUGCAAAAUAGAAGAAAAAUGAAAAAGAAAUCGUAAGAGUAAGAUCGUAACUAAACUAAAAAUACAGCAAAAAAAUUUGGAAAGAAUGAAGCAAUAAAAAUACUAAAUAAACAAAAUUGGAAUCAAAACACUUGACAGCCCGGUAUAAAAAAACUUGAGAAAUGAAAGAUAGAAAAAAAAUAAGGAAAAAGACGGAGCUUCAACAAUAGUAGUCUAAAGCCUAGAAUGACGAGAAGAUGUCUUGGAAAGAUGUCGAGAGAGACGUUGAGUCAACUUGCUUUCCAUACUGGCAAACGAAAGUGGUCGGAAAGAAUCGGCGGUUGGA